GAUAAGAACGUAGCGAAAUGCGAUAAGUAAUGUGAAUUGCAGAAUUCAGUGAAUCAUCGAAUCUUUGAACGCACCUUGCGCCCUUUGGCUAUUCCGAAGGGCAUGCCUGUUUGAGUAUCAUGAACAUCUCAACUCCUCACGGUUCGCCCGUGACGAGCUUGGACUUUGGGGGUCUUGCCGGCCUGCGGGUCGGCUCCUCUCAAAUGAAUCAGCUUGCCGGUGUUUGGUGGCGUCACAGGUGUGAUAAAUAUCUACGCUUGUGGUUUUCCGCCAGGUAACCUCCAGCGAUGGGGGUUCACUGGAGCUCACGAAUGUCUCUCCUCGGUGAGGACAGCUCUUUGAACGUUUGAUCUCAAAUCAGGUAGGGCUACCCGCUGAACUUAAGCAUAUCAAUAAGCGGAGGA
rnacentral:misc_RNA from 1 species